GACAGAGGUGCCGAGCGUUAGGCGGAAUCACUGGGCUUAAAGCGUGUGUAGGCGGGCGGGCAAGUACCUUGUGAAAUCCCACGGCUCAACCGUGGAACUGCUGGGUAUACUGCUCGUCUUGAGCCAAUCAGGGGCGAGCGGAACAGACGGUGGAGCGGUGAAAUGCGUAGAGAUCGGAAAGACCACCAACGGCGAAAGCACUCUGCUGGGCCGACACUGACACUGAGAGACGAAAGCUAGGGGAGCGAACGGG
rnacentral:rRNA from 1 species